CAUCAGAUUAAGCCGAUUUUUGAAGCAAUUUCACCAUAUGAAUUGAGGUCAGCAUUAUCUACUCGAUUUAGAUUAUAUUUUAUGAAUCUAUUCUCGUUUUAAGCAUUUAGUGGAUGAACUCAAAAGAAAAUUUGCGGGAUUUUUGUCUAAAGUUUCAUAAAGUGAAUUUUUGAGUUUUGAACAUCAAUUUGGAGUUAGUGAAACUAGCAUGGUUGAACUCGUAAUUAAAUGGGUGUUGAAUUUUUGUGUUUUUUUGGGUUCCGAGGUAUAGGCUCGGGUUUGACCUUUUGGUUGACUUUGAGCUUUAGAAACCUAAAUAUUCGUGUCAUUUGUUCGGUGUUGAGGUAACGUGCGUGCUAGAUGAUGUUCGUUUGGGCGUGUAACAUAUGAAGUACGACUCGGUUGAUUUUGCGAUGCUGUGUAGCUACCUAAUCUUAUUUUUAUUCAUAAAAUUUCUACGUGUUAGAGUAAUUUAGAUGUGAUCCAUGUUAAAAAUCAUGUUUAGGCUAUAUGCUUAUUCUAUUGGGACUCACUGAGGUCAUUUCUGUUGUUGGUUACUUGCUAAAUUGUGUUUACAUACUUAGUCAGAUUCAUUCAUUUACAUAUCAUAUCUCAGUCUUUGUUAUUAUUUAUUAACACAUCAUGUAGUUAUCAUUAUUUAGGCUGUUUGGCAUGAGGUUUGUCGGACCGAGAAACUGGAGAGCUUGAUGAUUGAAUUGGGGCCUGAGAGAGGAUUGAGAGUGAUAUUGAUAAGAGCGGGGUGCAUGCUGCAUUGAGUGUUAUUGAUUUAUGAUAGGAUCGCGCUUCACAUUGCAGCAGGUUAUAGUAGUUCAUGAUGGGAUCAGGCUAGAUGCCGCAACGGGUAUUAUUGAUUCUUAAUAGGAUUGGGCUGCACGUCGUUACAUGUAUUAUUGAUUCAUGAUGGGAUCGGGCAGCACGCCGUAUCAUACACUAUUGAUUCAUGAUGGGAUCGGGCUGCACUACGCAAUAUGUUAUUAGCGCUUGGGCAGGAUACAAAAUAGUCACCAAUCAUGAGUUGCCAAGUGUCUAAAAUGAUAUGUCUUGGCCAAUCACAAGUUAUCUUAUCACAUAGCUUAUGUGAUAAGUUUGACAACUCACAUAAGCCAAUCGGAAUCAAGCAAGAGAGUCCAUACUUAGUUGAACCGUCCAUCCUUUACCAUUAAAAAUGACUGUGUUACAUAACUCUCUAAG
rnacentral:lncRNA from 1 species